rnacentral:rRNA from 1 species
GUGUCAGCAGCCGCGGUAAUACGGAGGGUGCGAGCGUUGUCCGGAAUCACUGGGCGUAAAGGGCGCGUAGGCGGCGCGGAUAGUCGGCGGUGAAAGCCCGGAGCUCAACUCCGGGUCGGCCGUCGAUACUUCCGGGCUUGAGCACUGUAGAGGCAGAUGGAAUUCCGGGUGUAGCGGUGGAAUGCGUAGAGAUCCGGAAGAACACCGGUGGCGAAGGCGGUCUGCUGGGCAGUUGCUGACGCUGAUGCGCGACAGCGUGGGGAGCAAACAGGAUUAGAAACCCUGGUAGUCC